UGGGGAAUUUUGGACAAUGGGGGCAACCCUGAUCCAGCAAUGCCGCGUGAGUGAAGAAGGCCUUCGGGUUGUAAAGCUCUUUUGGCGGGGACGAAACGGUCCGUGACAACACCACGGACUAAUGACAGUACUCGCAGAAGAAGCACCGGCUAACUACGUGCCAGCAGCCGCGGUAAUACGUAGGGUGCAGGCGUUAAUCGGAAUUACUGGGCGUAAAGCGUGCGCAGGUGGCUCCUUAAGUCAGAUGUGAAAUCCCCGGGCUUAACCUGGGAACUGCGUCUGAUACUGGAAGGCUUGAGUAUGGGAGAGGGAUGUAGAAUUCCAGGUGUAGCGGUGAAAUGCGUAGAUAUCUGGAGGAAUACCGGUGGCGAAGGCGGCAUCCUGGACCAUUACUGACGCUGAGGCGCGAAAGCUAGGGGAGCAAACGGGAUUAGAUACCCCAGUAGUCCCUGAGCGGGCUGGCAAGGCGCAU
rnacentral:rRNA from 1 species